GGGCGAAGCGAACGCCCCGAGCCGCCCGCGGCUCCCACCGGGCGCGGCCGCGCGGUGCGUGUUCCCCGGAGUGCCGCGCUGCCCUGACCGCUCCGUGGGCUGGUUGGAAAUCGGUGUAGCGCGUCCAAAUAUGUGCUCAUACACGUGAGGGAAAACAACGUGUGAAAUACUAUAGCACAGACAAACUUCAGGCUGGAUAUUGUCGCGUUCAAAAUGCCUUGUGGUUACGGCAGAUAAACUACUCUUGCGGUGCUCUUAUAGUGAAUAGGCCAUUUUAUGCAGCCCCUUGAUAUGUCAUCCAGUGAAAGGAAGGGAUUGACAAAGCCAGCUAUCUUUGGACCUUUCAAACAGAGGACAGUCCAGAGGAAAAUAACAAAAUAUUAAAAUAUAAAGUAAGAGCUUUCAACAGACCAUUGAAGUACAUUUUCUUCCUAUAUGUUUACAGCACAAAUGAACAUUGGAAGUGUUACCUGGGGGAAGAUAAGUCUUGGCAAUUGGAGUUUGGGAGAAAAAGCAUUGUGCUGGGCAAGAGUAAAACCAAGACUGGAAUUUCAUAGAUGAUUGGAUGCGUCUAGGAAAAUGAGUAGCAUUAAAAUAACUAGGAGUGUAAACAUGUAAAUAUAAUUGGUGAGUUUCAGAGUUAAUUACUGGUGUCACUAAGGAAAUCGCUGCACCUCUUAAAGUUAUUUUUCUGCAGUCUCAGGAAAGAAAACAAUUAUUAUAUUUGACAUAUACAUUCAAAGAUAUCUUUACUAUGACAGCAUAAUUACUUUUUUAUUUCUGCAUGAAUUAAAGUUUAGGUUCUAAAAAGCAGUUCUGUUCCUUUGGUAGCCCAAGAACUAGAGUUACUCCUCUCAAAACCAUUGGACACAUAUGAUUUCUUAAGAUCAUUCUACUUUAUACCAUACAUAUAUGAGAUUUUUGAUCAAGAAGGGCUGAGAGAAGGGUUUAGAGAAGAAAAAAUGCACACUACUUGUAAAGAGAGAGCAGAGUUAACAACAGAAAAUGCGUUUUAAAAGGGCAUACUUGAAAACAGAUCUGAAGAGGGCAGCCUGCAAGAAAGAAGAGAUUUCUUAAGGUUAAGCUUUUAUAUUACUCCACCGUGCAAUAUAAAUGAACCCAAAGUGACAGAUACCUAUCCAAUAGAAACAGUUAUUCAAUUGAGAGAGGAAAAAUCACACACAAAAGUGUUUCAGUUUCUCUGUGUCUGUAUUCCUCCAACUACAGCCUGUUUGUUUUCCCCUUUUUUUGAUAACCUUCCAUGUUAGGAUUAUUUUAGCAUCAUUUUGCUAUAUUUGGUUAAGUUUUUUGUCAUUUGGGAAGUAGUGGUAAGGUCAAAGAGGACUAUAAAACAAUGCACAUUCUUAUGAGACUAGGAUUAAGGUUCCAUUAGCAAUUUCAACUUUUUAUCUUGAAUGCUGAUGGCCUAAUAAACAACAUUUAAUAGUUUUACAAAUGUAGCUUUUAAAUGCAAGAAUAUUAGAGUGUGGGUGAGUUUUUAUAGUCCCACAUAUCCCAAGGUGAAAAAGGCUGGAAAGGUGAAUGGAAGAAAAGAUUCAGAAAAUAAAUUCAGAAUAGGGCUACGCUAUCUGAAAAUGCAUUGCACUCUCACAGGAUCUUGUUGCACCAUAUAGAUGAUUUUACAUAUCUUUGGGAAAUGUCACUUUGGACCUGACUCAGUUUUCCUCUACCCAGACUCCUCUAACUAAAGAAUGUUCGGUUCCUCUGUUUUUAACAUAGUUUACUUCCCGAUUAGAGCAAUGUGAACACUCUCUUCUUACUCUUACAGGUGGUUUUUAAUUUAUAUUGUUCUGGAAGGAGAGGAUAGGGAAUGAUUUUAAAGUAAUUGAGCUUAAAACAAAUUUUAACCUGUUAACUUUUUUCAUCAGUCAAAUUUCAUGGCCACUCUGGCUAUUUGCUAUUCCAGUGUAGUCAUGACCUUAGCAACAGAAAUUUAAAUAAUUAGCAUAAAAUCUGUGGCAAAAGAUGAAAGUGCUGGUGUAGUUGUGAUUGCUGGGAAGAUUGUUGUUAUAAUCUGAUGAUCUACCACAAUAUUAAAGCAUUUCUGGUGGGGAUGACCUCAUGCAAAGAGUUACAUUUCAAACCUGUCUGUUAGGUAUUGUGUAUGUGAUGGUAUUGUAGCUGUGUGUAGAGCUACUAAAAUAGAUUUAAAUUAAUUGUAUUUCUAGUGCACACAGGUAAAGCACAAAUAUGGAAACUAGAUGAUCUUUAAGGUCACUUCCAACCCAGGAUAUUCUAUGAUCCUAUAAAAUGGUGAGGCACAACUGAAGGUUAUUAACUUUGAAAAGUCUCUUUAUACAUGGCUAUACAUAGUGACAGUGACACUGGCAAGAAAGUUAGAAAAGCAGUCCAGUUUUAUAUCUGUAUUCUGGGAGGAGCGUAUACAAAGUAUUUAGAUUAUGGUGUAGAGUUUUAUGAAGUCUUACUGGUUCAGUUUGAUGUGACCUGUACAGCUCAGGCACAGAAAAGUCACACAGAAACUACUGAAGAUUUUUGCAACACACUCCACCUGCCCACACCCCCUUUCACACCAGUUCUGCUCUAUACAGUGUGUGAGCACAAACACAGCCCCGGUCUUUGUAAUGUUUUAUAUUAUUUUUCUCUAAGACAGCCACUAUUUAUAUGUAUAUGUAUAUAAAAUCUUCCUUAAUCUAAGACAUACAAGUUUUUAUAUCUUUCCUCUGCCUGGAAUUUUCUGGUCUUCACAAUUUUAUUUUCUUCUAACUUCUGCAUUGAGAGACACUCCAUAAAACUGAAAGAACUGGCUAUACAGUAUUUCUGCAUCAUUAAGGAAUCUUCCAGUAAAAAUCCUAUGCAUGUGUUCUUGCUCAUGCAUAACUGAAGAAGAAUUAUGCUUAAACCUUUAGCUUGAGAGAGCCUUCCAAAUAGUACUCCUACUUUCAGGUUUAAAUUUCUAGGGAACCUAACAGAUUUGAACACCUAGUUCUCAUUAAUUUUUUUAUGGGAACUGGACAAACCUAUCCCACAGGCAUAUUGGCAAACACUAGGCUUACAUUUCAUCUAUUUCAUUACUCUGUCUUGGAAAGCAUGAAAUAAAAAUGAAACAAAGUAAAAAUAGGAGAAUUAGAAAGAGACUUACUUAUAUAUAUAAUUGUUUUUAAUUACAAAUAUCCAGAGAACUACCAGAAAGUAGAGUAAGAGGUGGAGUUCUGGGACAGAAACUUCUUGUUUUCCCAAACUCAUAGAGGUACUCUUCAAACAUAUAAUGUUCAUCCAUGGUUAGUGUUGAAAAAAAAUGAGUGUGAAACAUAUGCGUGGU